rnacentral:rRNA from 1 species
AGCCCCGGCAACUACGUGCCAGCAGCCGCGGUAAUACGUAGGGGGCAAGCGUUAUCCGGAUUUACUGGUGUAAAGGGAGCGUAGACGGUUAUGCAAGUCUGAUGUGAAAACCCGCGGCUCAACUGCGGAUUGCAUUGGAAACUGUGUAACUUGAGUACUGGAGGGGCAGGCGGAAUUCCUGGUGUACGGUGAAAUGCGUAGAUAUCAGGAGGAACACCGGUGGCGAAGGCGGCCUGCUGGACAGUACUGACGUUGAGGCUCGAAAGCGUGGGGAGCAAACAGGAUUAGAUACCCUGGUAGUCCAGCCGUAAACGAUGAAUACUAGGUGUGGGUGGGCAUUGCCCAUCGGUGCCGCAGCUAACGAAUAAGUAUUCCACCUGGGGAGUACGUUCGCAAGAAUGAAACUCAAAGGAAUUGACGGGACCCGCACAAGCGGUGGAGCAUGUGGUUUAAUUCGAAGCAACGCGAAGAACCUUACCAGUCUUGACAUCUGACUGACCGCCCCGUAAUGGGGGCUUUCCUUCGGGACAGUCAAGACAGUGGUGCAUGGUUGUCGUCAGCUCGUGUCGUGAGAUGUUGGGUUAAGUCCCGCAACGAGCCAACCCUUGCCGUCAGUAGCCAGCAUUUAGGAUGGGCACUCUGAUGGGACCGCCAGGGAAACCUGGAGGAAGAUGGGGAUGACGUCAAAUCAUCAUGCCCCUUAUGAUCUGGGCUACAACGUGCUACAAUGGCGUCCGACAAAGGGAAGCGAAGGAGCGAUCCGGAGCGAAUCCCAAAACGGCGUCUCAGUUCGGACUGCAGGCUGCAACCCGCCUGCACGAAGCUGGAAUCGCUAUAAUCGCAGAUCAGCAUGCUGCGGUGAAUACGUUCCCGGGUCUUGCACUCACCGCCCGU